GGGAGCCGAAGGGAAACCGAGUCUUAACUGGGCGUUAAGUUGCAGGGUAUAGACCCGAAACCCGGUGAUCUAGCCAUGGGCAGGUUGAAGGUUGGGUAACACUAACUGGAGGACCGAACCGACUAAUGUUGAAAAAUUAGCGGAUGACUUGUGGCUGGGGGUGAAAGGCCAAUCAAACCGGGAGAUAGCUGGUUCUCCCCGAAAGCUAUUUAGGUAGCGCCUCGUGAAUUCAUCUCCGGGGGUAGAGCACUGUUUCGGCAAGGGGGUCAUCCCGACUUACCAACCCGAUGCAAACUGCGAAUACCGGAGAAUGUUAUCACGGGAGACACACGGCGGGUGCUAACGUCCGUCGUGAAGAGGGAAACAACCCAGACCGCCAGCUAAGGUCCCAAAGUCAUGGUUAAGUGGGAAACGAUGUGGGAAGGCCCAGACAGCCAGGAUGUUGGCUUAGAAGCAGCCAUCAUUUAAAGAAAGCGUAAUAGCUCACUGGUCGAGUCGGCCUGCGCGGAAGAUGUAACGGGGCUAAACCAUGCAC
rnacentral:rRNA from 1 species